rnacentral:rRNA from 1 species
CUACGGGAGGCACCAGUGGGGAAUUUUGCGCAAUGGGCGAAAGCCUGACGCAGCGACGCCGCGUGGGUGAUGAAGGCCUUCGGGUUGUAAAGCCCUGUGGGGAGGGAAGAAUAAGGUAUGGCUAAUAUCCAUGCCGAUGACGGUACCUCCUUAGCAAGCACCGGCUAACUCUGUGCCAGCAGCCGCGGUAAGACAGAGGGUGCGAACGUUGUUCGGAAUUACUGGGCGUAAAGCGCGUGUAGGCGGCUACGCAUGUCGGGUGUGAAGGCCCUGGGCUUAACCUAGGAAGUGCACUCGAAACUGCGUAGCUCGAGUCCCGGAGAGGAUGGUGGAAUUCGCGGUGUAGAGGUGAAAUUCGUAGAUAUCGAGAGGAACACCGGUGGCGAAGGCGGCCAUCUGGACGGGUACUGACGCUGAGACGCGAAAGCGUGGGUAGCAAACAGGAUUAGAUACCCUAGUAGUC